UACGUAGGUGGCGAGCGUUGUCCGGAUUUACUGGGCGUAAAGCGCGUGUAGGCGGCUACGCAGGUCCGUUGUGAAAACUGGAGGCUCAACCUCCAGACGUCGACGGAAACCGUGUGGCUAGAGUCCGGAAGAGGAGAGUGGAAUUCCUGGUGUAGCGGUGAAAUGCGCAGAUAUCAGGAAGAACACCAAUGGCGAAGGCAGCUCGCUGGGACGGUACUGACGCUGAGACGCGAAAGCGUGGGGAGCGAACAGG
rnacentral:rRNA from 1 species